rnacentral:rRNA from 1 species
CAGCACCUCAAGUGGUCAGGAUGAUUAUUGGGCCUAAAGCAUCCGUAGCCUGCUUUGUAAGUUUUCGGUUAAAUCCAUACGCUCAACGUAUGGGCUGCCGGGAAUACUGCAAAGCUAGGGAGUGGGAGAGGUAGACGGUACUCGGUAGGAAGGGGUAAAAUCCUUUGAUCUAUUGAUGACCACCUGUGGCGAAGGCGGUCUACCAGAACACGUCCGACGGUGAGGGAUGAAAGCUGGGGGAGCAAACCGGAUUAGAUACCCGUGUAGUCC